GCGGUGAUGGCCGAGAGUUUAAGGCAUGGGAUUUGAAAUCGAAUGGGAUUUUCCCGCGCAGGUUCGAACCCUGUUCGCAGCG